rnacentral:tRNA from 1 species
AGUCCUGAGGUGUAAACAUAUUAGAUUGCAAAUCUAAAGUAGCAGGUUAACCCCUGCCGGGGCUU